GGACCCAGGGGGGAAGAUGGGGUUAUACCAGUACACUUGACCAGGCACCUAGAAGUUCUAUGAGAGAUCAACGGAUUAUGUACCCUGGCGGAAAGGGAAAGACAUCAGACACAUAAAAAACGUGUGUAGCCCGUUUCACCGGACUGACGCCAAUGUUUUAUGAGCAUUGGAUUUGAUGUGAGGUCCAAACAUCACAGUUUUUUCUUUGCUGAUUGAAGUGAAAAAAAAAAAAAAAAGGAAUAUCCGAAUGUACGCACAAGAGGUAUAGGAGAUUCUAAAGCAAACAGAUACCACCUCACCAAUGCGAAUGCGUCAGGAAUCCGUAGAGACCUGCAAGAUGUAGCCAUUGCAAGUAAAUUGCGGGUUUUCAUCGGUGAGUAGAGACGUGAAUAAUUUAGUGAGUUAGAAAAUGAAAAGGAAUAAAAAUGAAUGAG
rnacentral:sRNA from 1 species